rnacentral:rRNA from 1 species
UACGAAGGGGGCUAGCGUUGUUCGGAAUCACUGGGCGUAAAGCGCACGUAGGCGGAUCUUUAAGUCAGGGGUGAAAUCCCGAGGCUCAACCUCGGAACUGCCUUUGAUACUGGGGAUCUCGAGUCCGGAAGAGGAGAGUGGAAUUCCUGGUGUAGCGGUGAAAUGCGCAGAUAUCAGGAAGAACACCCGUGGCGAAGGCGGCUCUCUGGGACGGUACUGACGCUGAGACGCGAAAGCGUGGGGAGCGAACAGG